CUGAUCAGGAGAAAAUGUGGCAGAUAAAUAACCAAGCUUUUGCUCCCCGUGCAGUUAAUACGAUGGCAUUAAGAUUAAUUUAUCCUUUUUAUUAUUAUAAUUAUUAUCGUUAUUGCUGACUUCCAACAAAACAGUAUAAGAAAGAGAAGUGAUAUCCUGUUAGUUGCUCGCUGGCAACAUUAAUUAUUCUUCUCAAUUAUCACAUUUUCUUUAAUAUCUUAAUAAGACAAACGAUUGCAUUAAUGUUAUGUGACAAAUAAAUAUAAAGCGUAUUUAAUUCUCGAGCAUUUUCUUCAUUAUGAUGAGCUGUUGAAGGUUUGAGACUCGUCUUGCUGUUGGAAUCAAACAAUCCUUACUGUUUUCCUCUCAAGGUUGAUUUUACACUCAUAAACAUUUUUAUUACAAUUUGACUUUGAGCUUUGUCUUGUGUUUUUUUCUGCAUCCAUGCGUGUGGAUCUCUUAUCUGCGGCUCGCUCGGCCUCCAGCACGGUACAUGGCGUUAAAAGCUCGCAUCUAAAGGCAAGUACAUUUGAGCUCUGCGUAAAAAAAAAAACGCGCUCGAACAAAACUGGAAGCGAUAUAUAUUUUUUUGUUUGUUUAAUUCGGUUGUGGAAUGAUCUUUAAAUCGUAGAUGCCAGCGCCACGGCACGGAGAGAGCUUUCAUCCCUUCGUCGAAAUAAAAUUCCUCCAUCUUUUUUUUUUUUUUUUCCUGCCUUCAGCAUAUCCAGAAAUAACCGCGUAAAGCUUCGAAAUCGCUUGGACCUGAUCGCUUUCGUCGACACGGAUUGUCAGAGCAGUUGUGGAGCAGUGUGUAUAUGUGUGUGUGUGAGUGUGUGUGUGUGUGUGUGUAGCUGAGUUAUUCCUCGCCGCAUCCAGCGCGCUCCUCAGUAUGGGGAGCGGAACACAGGCCGCAAUGUGGCCGAGUGAGAUAAGCGCACGGCAGCGGCCUCUUCAUUCCCGAUAAGCCCCUAAACCCAUUAUUUAUGAAAUGAUUCAUUAUUAUUUGGCUGUCGUGGGCUAUAUAGGCUUGUGGAGGGCAAAGCAUUAAAAAAAAGGCAAACAGGCACAGCGCAACGGCCUGUAACAACGUGAGGUGGUGUUACUGUAGCCCGAGCUGAGGUGUUUUAAAUUAUUUUUUAUUUUUUUUAUUUUUUGAUGGAAGAAACAAAAGCGCAGGUUAAGCUUGUGACCUAUUUAUAUUACCGACAAAGGGUUUUUUUCUUUUCCUUUCUUUUGUCACUAAGCCCAUUUAUCCAGCAUUAAGAUAACCAACGACAGCAGAGGGUUGUCUAUCUUUUUCAUUUUUAUUUUCUAUCUUUAAAAAAGAAAAGAGUAUAUCCAUUCCUUCAUAUCCAUUUCUGCGCCUUGAGGCAGGAUGUAGCCCACUGAUAGGCCAACACAGAAAAAGAAAAAAAAAAACGAUGAAGGGGUGUAAUUGCGAUAACGACCCCUUAAUUGAAUGGGGACACGAGUAUUUAUCGAUCCAGGGGAAUAAAUAAUGAAAUAAAUAGAUAGAUAAAUAAACGCCGUGUUGCGUGUCAGUGUGUGUGUGUGUGUGUGUGUGUGUGUGUGUGUGUGUGUGUGUGUGUGUGUGUGUGUGUGUGUGUCGGGCGGCGGUUCCCUCGGGGUCCCAACGCAAAAGGAGUCGUGGCUGCGGGAGAUAAACGCGUAUCGGCUCCUGGUCGCAUCAGAUAAAUGGAGCCUGCGCGCUAUCAGGACCCGUCCAGGCCUGUCUGAAUGGCAGCAGGUUUUGGUCCAUCGGCAGUGUUUCAAAGUGGCGAGUUUACAAUCCAGAGACGGGCACCGUGCCACCGACUCCUUGUCAGCGCUGGCUGCGUCGUGCCGGCAUGAUCCGAAGGGAGGCGGUGCUUUCCCG